rnacentral:rRNA from 1 species
UACGAAGGGGGCUAGCGUUGCUCGGAAUCACUGGGCGUAAAGCGCACGUAGGCGGCUUUCUAAGUCAGGGGUGAAAUCCUGGAGCUCAACUCCAGAACUGCCUUUGAUACUGGAGAGCUCGAGUCCGGAAGAGGUGAGUGGAACUCCGAGUGUAGAGGUGAAAUUCGUAGAUAUUCGCAAGAACACCAGUGGCGAAGGCGGCUCACUGGCCCGAUACUGACGCUGAGGCACGAAAGCGUGGGGAGCAAACAGG